UACUGGUUUAAAUGUGAAAAUUCUUAGAGUGAAGUUAAUUUGGUCUCCUUGCUUAUCUGUUGUCCAUUCUAGCCCUGUGCUGCUUGUUACCUGCUGGAUCUCCCCUUAAACUAUACAGGAGCCUCAGCAGGCUCAGAAUAAUUUUGCAGCAGGGGCAGGACUCAGAGAAGAAGUUGGGAGGGCUUAGCCAGUGAGUGAUGGCAGCAGAGAUUAUCAAUGCAGGAUAUCUGGAAAUCUGGCAGAUGACGCCUUGCUUCUAAAAUCCCUGGAUCCUUUUCCUCUGGGCUGCAGAGAAUGUCUCAAGCUAGAAAAAAAUCCACGAGAGACCCCUUGUGUCACUCAAAAUAACUUGUUCUUCUCGCUUCAAUAAAAGUAACUGGUUGUGGUGGUGUAUUGCA